ensembl:processed_transcript Mir100hg Mir100 Mirlet7a-2 Mir125b-1 cluster host gene
AACACAGAGAGAGCAAGCUCGAGAGAAUUUUCGAAGAAGCUUGUCUUCAAGAUAUGGAAGGAAGUGAGAGAUGACAGCCUGCAAGCUUUGUAUGCCAGUGCCUGGCAGGGCGGGGAGGGGGUGGGGGAGAGAUGCGAGGGAAGCCAAGUGGAUUCUCAGAAAAGGGGGGAAGCCAUCAAAGAGCUAAAGGUGAUUAGAGGGGGAUAUCGAUUCCUUACUCUGCCAGAGGUUUAAGCAGGCAUGUGAGGAAUCUGUACCAUGGUUGGCAGAAAGAGACCCAUUGCCUCUUGUAACCAGACACUGGGGCUUUCCAGGAGCCCAGGGAGAGAGCCGAGAAGAAAGGGGGCAGUGUGGUCUAGGAAAAUUCAACUUGUCGCUGAUUUGUGCCUGAUGCUUGCUGUCCGUCAGCAGCCUCCCUUACAAGCCUUUUUUCCUCUCUCUCCUUUUUUCUUCCCUUGCCUUCUUCUUCAGUGAAGCCUAGGGGAGCCAGUAAAGAUUAAAUGUGCUUUCUCAAAGGCAGCCACUUCAUGCUGCUAUGUCGAAAGGGCUAUUAUUAUUAUUAAUACGAGAGAGAAAGAGAGAGAGAGAGAGAGAGAGAGAGAGAGAGAGAGAGAGAGAGAGAGAGAGAGAAAGAUUAGGUAUGGUGAUGACGGUCUAGCUUUUUGGAGAGCAAAAGGGAGAGAAAAAAGGAGAGACCAUGAGCUGAACCAAGGACUGUGCAUGAGCUGGACCAAGGACUGUGCAUGAGCUGAACCUACAGAGCUGGUCCUAUAGCCCCCUUUCUCAGUAAUGUCUCCCCAGUGAAAGGAAAAAGACUGCAGAAGCUUCUGAUGGACGCUCAUGCCAACUGUGAAGUUGAAACAAAGCAAGUAACCAGCUGAAGAGGCCCCUCCUGCCCAGCAGCCACCCACAUGGUGCAGUUGCAGCCAGUAGUAAUCUUUGCAAGAAACAGAGAAACCCAGAACAUUCAGAAGUCAAAAACACCCCCUUCCUUGUGUGUAUCCCUCUGUCUGCGUUCAGGUUGAUGUGCCUUCCAUUUUGAUCCUGGCAUGAAUAUGCUUGUUACUGUACAAGUAUAAAGGUAACUUUGCCCAAAUGUGUUAAUGUAUGAAGAGACUGAAUUGGGGGGAGGGGAGUUAUUUUUAUCAAAACACAGUGUUUGUUCUUGAGAGUGAUCUAGAAAAUGAAAAGCAGUUUGAAAAGACAGCAAAACAGUCACAGGCGAUCCACAGAGAUGCUCAUACCGUCACACAAAAACACCACAUCAUGCCCCCCCCCCAGACUCUGAGCAGGAAACUUGGCUCUGUGACAUACUGUGGCUGCUGCCAAGGGUCAACAUCAAGCCAGACAAAGGUGCAGAAGCUACCUAAAGUGUAGUGAUAAACCGAGUCAGGAGACAAUAAGAACAGUAACCACUCAAAGACAAUGCUCUUGGAGGUUUCCAAGUGGGUUUGCUUAAGAAAGGAUACUCCCUUAAAGAGAGAAUAGGAAAUAAACCUUUAAAGGAUGUAAAAACAAAAUUAGAUAAACUGGAAGAUAGGAGAAAAUAGAGUCCUUAAUGCAAACCUAAGAGUAAGCAAUGGAAUGGUAGAGGAGAUCCACAUGGUAAGUUUUGGAGACUACACAUAUCCCAUCUUGAUUUCGCCUGACACUUGGAACCCCUGUCCGCGUGUCUAGUAGAGAUGCUGCACACAGGUAUCUCUCCUCUCCCACCCCAGAUGUCACCUCAACUGAACUAGAACUAAAGUUCCAGUUCUGUGUCACUACAAAGAUUGGUUGGUGGUUUCUGAGUAGAAUUCGUGACUCUUCUGUUCGUAAUUGCUUGUUACCAAGUUUAUUCCAUACAGGAAAUGUUUUGCACAUUAAAUCUCAUAGUUGCUAUGAAAACUACACAUCACCCACAUUUCACAGGUGAAGAAACUGAUUUUGGUGAGGUUGAGUGCCUGGCCAAGGCACUACAUGCAGCUAUGCACAUUCAAGGUUGUGGUCAUGAAACUCAGUCCCUAGUCUGACUUUUGUGAAGAGUUCCAACACAGUUGUCACCUUUUCCAUGGGCCUUAAUGCCUGUCUUUAGAAACACAUGGCUCUUCUGCUGACUUAUGGCCACAGUAUUUCCUACUUUCAUGUUGAAUUAUACCAAAAUGAUAAAAUGUAUUUUCAUGGAAGAAAAUUGAGAAUUUAGUGAAAUACACUACCUGCCAGGAGUUUGUACGUUUCGUCUUGAUUUUGGUCUGAUAGGAGACUUUUGAUUUAGUUUUGCAUGAAAUCUCAAAGUUUUAAGAGCAGUAAGGAUAGGGCCUUAAGUUACCUGUUAUAGUACUUUUUGACAGAAGAUGCAAAUCUACAGCCUGUAAUCAGAGUGACAAACAAACAACAAAAAAGACACCCCCUCCCCACAAAAACUCAAAUCAAACCAACCAAACAAACAAACAAUGAAAUAAACAAAACUGCCCACUUACAUGGAAAUGUCCUAACAAAGACCAGAAACUAAGCCCUCAGUUAUUUUUCAAUGGCUUUUAAAUUAUUCCACCCUGUCCUAAAGAAACAUGAACUUGUAUUUGACUAAAGGCACUAAUGUUGCAUAGAUUUGAUCUAGUAAAAUCUAGCUCCUUCCCUCCUUGGUACUCAUGUCCAUGUUAAAUACAGCUGUGAACUAGUGUAUUUAUGUCAAGAAGUUGUCAAUGAUCUGUCCCCAAAGAACACAGAAUAGCCAAUGUUGUAUAUAUACUCCAUCUUUAAUCCAACCAUGAAGUCAUUAGUUCACCUGCACCAAUCCAAUCCAUUGUGCAUCUUCUCAACCAACCUGACCUAUGGCAAUCAUUUGCAAGUGCUAUAAAUGUUUAUCUAUGACUGUUCCAGAAAUAGUUAAGUAUUAACAAAUACCACUAGUCAUUUGGUGAUGUAAUCCUUGUUUAUCUGUGUAACUAAUUCAAAAAGACUUUGGCCAUAAAACCCUAGAACUAAAAACCCCAUUCUUGGCUUUCAGCCACUCUACAAUUGAUUGACAUUUAACAGUGAUUAAUAAAUUGUCCAUCUAAAUAACAUAGAUGUCCAAAUUGUGAUUUUUUUUUUUGCCUUGAAUGAGACAGUUAAGCUGGGUAGGCUAAGGGACAGAUGUCUAACUUUUUGAGGUACCUGGAUAUUUAACUGAUGUAAAUUUCUACUUAGCUGUUUGACAUUGUCAUAUGUAGUCCUGGUCAUGGCUCUGACUGUUCUGUUUUUUCAAAAUGCUUGUUGGCUCUGUCUUACACUGUUCUCACUGAUCUCAUAAAUAAACAGGUUUGCUGUUAAAGAGUAGCCCAAGCACAAAGUGUGAUGUUGUUGACAUUUUACAAGACUUUCCUUGGUCCCUGACUCCCAAUAAAAGAAGUGUUGCAUUGACUGU